GAUGAACGCUGGCGGCGUGCCUAAUACAUGCAAGUCGAGCGAACGGACGAGAAGCUUGCUUCUCUGUUGUUAGGGGCGGACGGGUGAGUAACACGUGGAUACCCUCCCUAUAAGACUGGGAUAACUUCGGGAACCCGGAGCUAAUACCGGAUAAUAUUUUGAACCGCAUGGUUCAAAAGUGAAAGCGGGUUUUGCUGCACCUAAUAGAGGGAUCCGCGCUGCAUUAGCUAGUUGGUAAGGUAACGGCUUACCAAGGCAACGAUGCAUAGCCGACCUGAGAGGGUGAUCGGCCACACUGGAACUGAGACACGGUCCAGACUCCUACGGGAGGCAGCAGUAGGGAAUCUUCCGCAAUGGGCGAAAGCCUGACGGAGCAACGCCGCGUGAGUGAUGAAGGUCUUCGGAUCGUAAAACUCUGUUAUUAGGGAAGAACAUAUGUGUAAGUAACUGUGCACAUCUUGACGGUACCUAAUCAGAAAGCCACGGCUAACUACGUG
rnacentral:rRNA from 1 species